rnacentral:rRNA from 1 species
UUUUAUGAGAGUUUGAUCCUGGCUCAGGACGAACGCUGGCGGCGUGCCUAAUACAUGCAAGUCGUACGCUUCUUUUUCCACCGGAGCUUGCUCCACCGGAAAAAGAGGAGUGGCGAACGGGUGAGUAA